rnacentral:rRNA from 1 species
GAUGAACGCUGGCGGCGUGCCUAAUACAUGCAAGUCGAGCGGACGGACGCGGCGCUUGCUUUUCUGAUGUUAGCGGCGGGCGGGUGAGUAACACGUGGAUCCCCUACCUAUAAGACUGGGAUAACUUCGGGAAACCGGAGCUAAUACCGGAUAAUAUUUUGCACCGCAUGGUUCAAUAGUGAAUGACGGUCUUGCUGUCUCUUAUCGAUGCAUCCGCGCUGCAUUAGCUAGUUGGUGAGGUAACGGCUUACCAAGGGAACGAGGCGUAGCCGACGUGAGAGAGGGAUCGGCCACCCGGGAACUGAAACGCGGUCCAGGCUACUAAGGGAGGCAGCAGUAGGCAAUCGGGCGCAACGGGCGAAAGCAUGACGGAGUAACGCCGCGCGAGUGAUGAAGGUCCUCCGUGCGUAAAACCCUGUUAUUAGUGAAAAACAUAUGUGUAAGUAGCCGUGCACAGCGUGACGGUACUGAAUCAGAAAGCACCGGCUAACUACGUG